rnacentral:rRNA from 1 species
UGGUGGCGACCGGCGCACGGGUGCGUAACGCGUAUGCAACCUGCCCCCAUCAGGGGAAUAGCCCGCCGAAAGGCGGAUUAAUGCCCCAUAGGCCCAGGGCGCCGCAUGGCGCUAUGGGUAAAGCUCCGGCGGAUGGGGAUGGGCAUGCGUGCCAUUAGCUAGUUGGGGCGGUAACGGCGCACCAAGGCGACGAUGGCUAGGGGGUCUGAGAGGAUGGUCCCCCACAUUGGUACUGAGACACGGACCAAACUCCUACGGGAGGCAGCAGUGAGGAAUAUUGGUCAGUGGGCGAGAGCCUGAACCAGCCAAGUAGCGUGAAGGAAUGAAGGUCCUAUGGAUUGUAAACUUCUUUUAUAGUAGAAUAAAGUGAUCCACGUGUGGAUUUUUGUAUGUAUACUGUGAAUAAGGAUCGGCUAACUCCGUGCCAGCCGCCGC